AACUGGUGCUGUGGGCACUGGCGGAGGAGCUCUUGGAAUCUCUCCCAAGCUUCGUGGAGAGGCUCGUCAGCUCCUUGCAUGAAGUUCAUUAUCCUGGCUCCUAAUCU